rnacentral:rRNA from 1 species
UACGUAGGGGGCUAGCGUUGUCCGGAAUCACUGGGCGUAAAGCGCACGUAGGCGGAUGUGUCAGUCAGGGGUGAAAUCCCGGGGCUCAACCUCGGAACUGCCUUUGAUACAGCACGUCUCGAGUCCGGAAGAGGUGGGUGGAAUUCCUAGUGUAGAGGUGAAAUUCGUAGAUAUUAGGAAGAACACCGGUGGCGAAGGCGGCCCACUGGUCCGGUACUGACGCUGAGGUGCGAAAGCGUGGGGAGCAAACAGG